AUUGAACGCUGGCGGCAUGCCUUACACAUGCAAGUCGAACGGCAGCACGGGAGCAAUCCUGGUGGCGAGUGGCGAACGGGUGAGUAAAGUAUCGGAACGUGCCCAGUCGUGGGGGAUAACGUAGCGAAAGUUACGCUAAUACCGCAUACGAUCUAUGGAUGAAAGCGGGGGAUCGCAAGACCUCGCGCGAUCGGAGCGGCCGAUAUCAGAUUAGGUAGUUGGUGGGGUAAAGGCUACCCAAGCCGACGAUCUGUAGCUGGUCUGAGAGGACGACCAGCAACACUGGGACUGAGACACGGCCCAGACUCCUACGGGAGGCAGCAGUGGGGAAUUUUGGACAAUGGGCGAAAGCCUGAUCCAGCCAUGCCGCGUGCAGGAUGAAGGCCUUCGGGUUGUAAACUGCUUUUGUACGGAACGAAAAGGUUUGGCCUAAUAAGCUGAGCUCAUGACGGUACCGUAAGAAUAAGCACCGGCUAACUACGUGCCAGCCGCCGCGGUAA
rnacentral:rRNA from 1 species